AUAACGGCGUUUCUAAACGCCACAAAAUUAAUUUUUCUCUUUUAA
rfam:Corchorus olitorius cultivar O-4 contig22877, whole genome shotgun sequence.